AUUGUAUGAGCGAUGGCAUGUAGGGCAAAGUACGUGGACGGAUACCUGGAAUAGUCUGGAAUUUAGUAAAAGGGUGACCGUCGGAUGCUUCAUGAUUAGAAUGAAAAUUGACCUAUUCCGUACUACUAGCUAAUACUCGAAAUAUCGUCAUUCAUCUAUGCUUCCGUGCUUUCUAAGACUCAUUCCUCAAUCGACUUUUUUCCUUUCUAGUUCCUUUCUUUUUAUUUUAUUUUUAUUUUCUAUAUAUCCUAUUUUAAAAUUAAUUUUUC
rnacentral:lncRNA from 1 species